AUACGGAGGAUCCGAGCGUUAUCCGGAUUUAUUGGGUUUAAAGGGUGCGCAGGCGGCCAUUUAAGUCAGCGGUUAAAUCGUGGGGCUCAACCCCAUUCUGCCGUUGAUACUGGGUGGCUUGAUUGCGGUCGAGGUUGGCGGAAUUCGCAGUGUAGAGGUGUAAUGCAUAGAUAUGACGAAGAACACCGAUUGCGUAGGCAGCUGACCAGACCGCAAAUGACGCUCAUGCACGAAAGUGCGGGGAUCGAACAGGAUUAGAUACCCUGGUAGUCCGCACAGUAAACGAUGAAUACUUGUUUUCGGCGAUAUAAUGUCGGAGGCAAAGCGAAAGCGAUAAGUAUUCCACCUGGGGAGUACGCCGGCAACGGUGAAACUCAAAGGAAUUGGCGGGG
rnacentral:rRNA from 1 species